rnacentral:misc_RNA from 1 species
UGAGCUCGUCGAGGAGGAUGAAAAUCCACCGCUGAUCUACAAGGACGGCUCAUCCGAUAGCGACUCAAGUGGCGUACUCAAUGACGAUGCCAGUCCUCCUUACCACCCGGUUAUCCCGGAAGCUCAGGCGAUCUUCGACUCGGCGACGACUAAUGCAUUCAUGGAUUCAAAACCAGGGAAGGGAUUUGGAUUCUUUCAUCAACUCCUGAAAGAGGAGGAGCAGGAUGACACAUGUACCGACUGGUUCUCCGACGAGCAGCCUCCGACGUUGUCCUGGUGCUGCCCUGACUCAUGGAACUGGGCUGAUGGGGGUGGUGAUGGUAAUAUUCCGAAAAGGGAGGGGCCUUUUUG